rnacentral:rRNA from 1 species
GCAGAACGCGAAGAACCUUACCUGGUCUUGACAUAGUAAGAACUUUCCAGAGAUGGAUUGGUGCCUUCGGGAACUUACAUACAGGUGCUGCAUGGCUGUCGUCAGCUCGUGUCGUGAGAUGUUGGGUUAAGUCCCGCAACGAGCGCAACCCUUUUCCUUAUUUGCCAGCGGGUUAAGCCGGGAACUUUAAGGAUACUGCCAGUGACAAACUGGAGGAAGGCGGGGACGACGUCAAGUCAUCAUGGCCCUUACGACCAGGGCUACACACGUGCUACAAUGGUCGGUACAAAGGGUUGCUACCUAGCGAUAGGAUGCUAAUCUCAAAAAGCCGAUCGUAGUCCGGAUUGGAGUCUGCAACUCGACUCCAUGAAGUCGGAGUCGCUAGUAAUCGCGGAUCAGAAUGCCGCGGUGAAUACGUUCCCGGGUCUUGUACACACCG